GGAAGCGUGGCCGAGUGGUUUAAGGCACUGGUCUUGAAAACCAGAGAUGGGCGACUAUCCGUGAGUUCGAAUCUCACCGCUUCCGCCA
rnacentral:tRNA from 1 species